rnacentral:rRNA from 1 species
AACGAACGCUGGCGGCAUGCCUAACACAUGCAAGUCGAACGAAGUCUUCGGACUUAGUGGCGCACGGGUGCGUAACGCGUGGGAAUCUGCCCUUGGGUGCGGAAUAACUUCUCGAAAGGGAUGCUAAUACCGCAUAAUGUCGUAAGACCAAAGAUUUAUCGCCCAAGGAUGAGCCCGCGUAAGAUUAGCUAGUUGGUGGGGUAAAAGCCUACCAAGGCGACGAUCUUUAGCUGGUCUGAGAGGAUGAUCAGCCACACUGGGACUGAGACACGGCCCAGACUCCUACGGGAGGCAGCAGUGGGGAAUAUUGGACAAUGGGCGAAAGCCUGAUCCAGCAAUGCCGCGUGAGUGAUGAAGGCCCUAGGGUUGUAAAGCUCUUUUACCAGGGAUGAUAAUGACAGUACCUGGAGAAUAAGCUCCGGCUAACUUCGUGCCAGCAGCCGCGGUAAU